rnacentral:rRNA from 1 species
UUCCGGUUGAUCCUGCCUGACCUGACUGCUAUCGGAUUGAUACUAAGCCAUGCGAGUCAUUGUAGCAAUACAAGGCAUACGGCUCAGUAACGCGUAGUCAACCUAACCUAUGGACGGGAAUAACCUCGGGAAACUGAGAAUAAUGCCCGAUAGAACAUUAUGCCUGGAAUGGUUUAUGUUCCAAAUGAUUUAUCGCCGUAGGAUGGGACUGCGGCCUAUCAGUUUGUUGGUGAGGUAAUGGCCCACCAAGACUAUUACAGGUACGGGCUCUGAGAGGAGUAGCCCGGAGAUGGGUACUGAGACACGGACCCAGGCCCUAUGGGGCGCAGCAGGCGAGAAAACUUUGCAAUGUGCGAAAGCACGACAAGGUUAAUCCGAGUGGUUUCUGCUAAAGAAACCUUUUGUCAGUCCUAGAAACACUGAUGAAUAAGGGGUGGGCAAGUUCUGGUGUCAGCCGCCGCGGUAAAACCAGCACCUCAAGUGGUCAGGAUGAUUAUUGGGCCUAAAGCAUCCGUAGCCGGCUCUGUAAGUUUUCGGUUAAAUCUGUACGCUCAACGUACAGGCUGCCGGGAAUACUGCAGAGCUAGGGAGUGGGAGAGGUAGACGGUACUCGGUAGGAAGGGGUAAAAUCCUUUGAUCUAUUGAUGACCACCUGUGGCGAAGGCGGUCUACCAGAACACGUCCGACGGUGAGGGAUGAAAGCUGGGGGAGCAAACCGGAUUAGAUACCCGGGUAGUCCCAGCUGUAAACUAUGCAAACUCAGUG